rnacentral:rRNA from 1 species
UCGCAUGGGCUUUGCUCGCGAUACAUCAUUCAAGUUUCUGCCCCAUCAGCUUUCGAUGGUAGUGUAUUGGACUACCAUGGCUUUCACGGGUAACGGAGGAUUAGGGUUCGAUUCCGGAGAGGGAGCCUGAGAAACGGCUACCACAUCUAAGGAAGGCAGCAGGCGCGUAAAUUACCCAAUCCUGACUCAGGGAGGUAGUGACAAGAAAUAACGGACCGAAGCCUAUGUUUCGGGAUUGCAAUGAGUAGAAUUUAAACCCCUUUACGAGGAUCAAUUGGAGGGCAAGUCUGGUGCCAGCAGCCGCGGUAAUUCCAGCUCCAAUAGCGUAUAUUAAAGUUGUUGCAGUUAAAAAGCUCGUAGUUGGAUUUCUGGAAGAGUGACAAUGUCGUCUUGUUGACUGUGCAGCGUCGCUCUUCCAUCCUUCUGUUAACGUUUCGGGUAUUCAUUUACUCGUCUCGGGCUCAGAUAUUUUACCUUGAGAAAAUUAGAGUGUUCCAGGCAGGCUCGCGCCGGAAUACAUUAGCAUGGAAUAAUAGAAUAGGACUUUAGUCUCCUUUGUUGGUUUGAGGGACUGAAGUAAUGAUUAAUAGGGAUAGUUGGGGGCAUUAGUAUUUAAUUGUCAGAGGUGAAAUUCUCGGAUUUGUUAAAGACUAACUUAUGCGAAAGCAUUUGCCAAGGAUGUUUUCAUUAAUCAAGAACGAAAGUUAGGGGAUCAAAGACGAUCAGAUACCGUCCUAGUCUUAACCAUAAACUAUGCCGACUAGGGAUCGGAGGCGCGCUUUAUCCGCCUUCGGCACCUUAUGAGAAAUCAAAGUCUUUGGGUUCUGGGGGGAGUAUGGUCGCAAGGCUGAAACUUAAAGGAAUUGACGGAAGGGCACCACCAGGAGUGGAGCUUGCGGCUCAA